CCUACGGGAGGCAGCAGUGAGGAAUAUUGGUCAAUGGGCGGAAGCCUGAACCAGCCAAGUCGCGUGAGGGAAGAAUGCCCUAUGGGUUGUAAACCUCUUUGGUCAGGGAGCAACGCCGGCUACGUGUAGCCGGACGGAGAGGACCUGAAGAAAAAGAAGCGGCGAACUCCGUGCCAGCAGCCGCGGUAAUACGGAGGAUGCGAGCGUUAUCCGGAUUUAGUGGGGGGAACGGGUGCGUAGGCGGAAUUCCAAGUCCGCGGUAAAAUGGCGGGGCUCAACCUCGCUCGGCCGUUGACACUGGCUUUCUUGAGUGUGCGAGACUUCUGCGGACUGCGUGGUGUAGCGG
rnacentral:rRNA from 1 species